rnacentral:misc_RNA from 1 species
AAAGCUUCAGAUCCAGGUCGAU